rnacentral:rRNA from 2 species
CCUACGGGAGGCAGCAGUGGGGAAUAUUGGACAAUGGGCGCAAGCCUGAUCCAGCCAUGCCGCGUGUGUGAAGAAGGCCUUAUGGUUGUAAAGCACUUUAAGCGAGGAGGAGGCUACUUUAGAUAAUACCUAGAGAUAGUGGACGUUACUCGCAGAAUAAGCACCGGCUAACUCUGUGCCAGCAGCCGCGGUAAU